AGAGAGAGAGAGGUGAAUGAGAGAAAGACAUGGAGAGGAAUGCAAGAGAGGAUGACCAGAGCAUAGAACCAUGGCAUCAGCUCUGCCAUUGAUCUCAAAACAGCCUCUAUCUAUCUAGCAGUGCUUGGACUGAUCUAGACAGGAGCUGUAUGACAGUUCACACAGGUGGCUGGUCCAGCGGUAAUGCUGCAGCCUCCAACACACAGGUCUACACUGUCUGCAUAGGUUUAAAUAGGGCCUGCUGCCCUUUGACACAAAAUUCUCUCUCUGUUCAAUGAAGACAGAAAAUACAUGACAUCUACAUAAAGGGAGAUGAUAGGAGCAGCAGAGCCAGAUCUGAAGUCCAGAGGAGAUGAUAGGAGCAGCAGAGCCAGAUCUGAAGACCAGAGGUGAUGAUAGGAGCAGCAGAGCCAGAUCUGAAGUCCAGAGGAGAUGAUAGGAGCAGCAGAGCCAGAUCUGAAGUCCAGAGGAGAUGAUAGGAGCAGCAGAGCCAGAUCUGAAGUCCAGAGGAGAUGAUAGGAGCAGCAGAGCCAGAUCUGAAGUCCAGAGGUGAUGAUAGGAGCAGCAGAGCCAGAUCUGAAGUCCAGAGGUGAUGAUAGGAGCAGCAGAGCCAGAUCUGAAGUCCAGAGGAGAUGAUAGGAGCAGCAGAGCCAGAUCUGAAGUCCAGAGGUGAUGAUAGGAGCAGCAGAGCCAGAUCUGAAGUCCAGAGGUGAUGAUAGGAGCAGCAGAGCCAGAUCUGAAGUCCAGAGGAGAUGAUAGGAGCAGCAGAGCCAGAUCUGAAGUCCAGAGGAGAUGAUAGGAGCAGCAGAGCCAGAUCUGAAGUCCAGAGGAGAUGAUAGGAGCAGCAGAGCCAGAUCUGAAGUCCAGAGGAGAUGAUAGGAGCAGCAGAGCCAGAUCUGAAGUCCAGAGGUGAUGAUAGGAGCAGCAG